rnacentral:rRNA from 1 species
GACGAACGCUGGCGGCGUGCUUAACACAUGCAAGUCGAACGGAAAGGCCCUGCGUGUGUGGUGUUCUCGAGUGGCGAACGGGUGAGUAACAGGUGAGUAACCUGCCCUUGACUUUGGUAUAACUUCAGGAAACUGGGGCUAAUACCGGAUAGGAGCCCCUGCUCGAGUGUGGGGGUUGGAAAUUUUCGGCUGUUGGGGAUGGAUGCGCGGCUGUUCAGCUUGUUGGUGGGGGAGGGGCUUACCAAGGGUUUGACUGGUAGGCGGCCUGAGUGGGUGACCGGCGACAUUGGGCCUACGAUACGGACCAGAGUGCUACAGGAGGCAGCGGUGGGGAAUAUUGCCCAAUGGGACGGCGUCUGAUGAAGAGACGCUGCGUGCGGGAUGCCGGCCUUCGGGUUGUAAAAAGCUUUAGCCUGUGACGCCGCGUGAGUGACGGUACUGAGUAAAGAAGCACCGGCUAACUACGUG